GAGUGAUCGAAAGAUGAAAAGCACUUUGAAAAGAGAGUCAAACAGCACGUGAAAUUGUUGAAAGGGAAGCGUUGGCCCCCAGACGCGCCCGGGAGGGCUCAGCCGGCACGUGUGCCGGUGUACUCUCUCCCGGGCGGGCCAGCAUCGGUUUGGGCGGUCGCUGAAAGGCCCCGGGAAUGUAGCACCCUCCGGGGUGCCUUAUAGCCCGGGGCGGCAUGCGGCCCGCCGGGACCGAGGCCCGCGCUUCGGCGAGGAUGCUGGCGUAAUGGGGGUUKWCGGC
rnacentral:rRNA from 1 species